rnacentral:rRNA from 1 species
GACGAACGCUGGCGCCGUGCCUAAUACAUGCAAGUAGUACGCAGUUGCGAACGGGUGCGUAACGCGUAGGUAACUGCCUCAUAGCGUGGGAUAACUAUUGGAAACGAUAGCUAAUACCGCAUACUGUGAGAUGGACCUGCGUUGUAUUAGGUAUUUGGUAAGUUAAAGGCCCAGCAAGGCGACGAUACAUAGCCGACCUGCGAGGGUGAUCGGCCACACUGGGAUAGAGAAACGGCCCAGUGUCCUACGGGAGGCAGCAGUAGGGAAUCUUCGGCAAUGGACGGAAGUCUGACCGAGCAACGCGGAGUGAGUGAAGAAGGUUUUCGGAUCGUAAAGCUCUGUUGUUAGAGAAGCGAUAACUAACCAGAAGGGGACGGCUAACUACGUGCCAGCAGCCGCGGUAAUUC